CACAUGACUCUCGGCAACGGAUAUCUCGGCUCUCGCAUCGAUGAAGAACGUAGCGAAAUGCGAUACCUGGUGUGAAUUGCAGAAUCCCGCGAACCAUCGAGUCUUUGAACGCAAGUUGCGCCCGAGGCCUUUGGGCCGAGGGCACGCCUGCCUGGGCGUCACG
rnacentral:rRNA from 1 species